AAGCGUUACCCGGAAUCACUGGGUGUAAAGGGUUCGUAGGCGGAUAAAUAAGUCAGGUAUGAAAGACUGGAGCUCAACUCCAUGUUUGUGCUUGAAACUGUAUAUCUAGAAUCAGGGGAGAGGUAAGCGGAAUUCUAAGUGUAGGGGUGCAAUCCGUAGAUACUUAGAGGAACACCAAAAGCGAAGGCAGCUUACUGGAACUGUAUUGACGCUCAUGAACGAAAGCGUGGGUAGCGAAAAGGAUUAGAUACCCUGGUAGUCCACACCGUAAACGCUGUCUACUAGCUGUUUGUGAAUUUAAUUCGUGAGUAGCGAAGCUAACGCGAUAAGUAGACCGCCUGGGGAGUACGGCCGCAAGGUUAAAACUCAAAUGAAUUGACGGGGGCCCGCACAAGCGGUGGAGCAUGUGGUUUAAUUCGACGCAACGCGAAGAACCUUACCAGGUCUUGACAUCCAGAGAACUUUCCAGAGAUGGAUUGGUGCCUUCGGGAACUCUGUGACAGGUGCUGCAUGGCU
rnacentral:rRNA from 1 species